UCCAAACUUCACAUUUAUAACACUGGUUGAAUCUCUCAGGAUGAUCAAAAGGUUUCUACAACGUACAAUGAAGUUGAUUAUUGUGCUUGCUGUGACGUACUUUCUUGCUUGUGAAGGACGAUGGUUUCCGGAUGAGCUCGAACUUAGAAGUCAUGCUGUAAAAAGAUAUCAAAAACAACGACUCUGUCAUGAAGUUGUGGAAACUGUUUAUCCUAAAAUUCGUUUGAAUAAAGAUGGAAAUUUUCUUCCAUACAAGAUCUACUCGCUUAAAUGUAAACACGAUAGAGCAAAACCAUUAAGUAUCUCUGACUCGAGUGUCAUUUGCGAAACUAAAAAUAUACCAAUUAAAGUAUACGAGUUCGACGACGAUUGGAAGCUGAUACACAUUCAUGAUCUGCAUGAUGUCGGCUCAAAUUGUGUUGCUUAUAAAAUGUAGAUGACGAAGACUCUUGAAAGAAUUAUCUGUUAGUUAAAUAAUGCAUCAUACAUGAUAGUUUCAGACUGUAAGAAUUCAGUAAUAAUUACAACGACAAAAAUUCAA